CCUACGGGAGGCAGCAGUGAGGAAUAUUGGUCAAUGGGCGCGAGCCUGAACCAGCCAAGUCGCGUGAGGGAAGACGGUCCUAUGGAUUGUAAACCUCUUUUGUCGGGGAGCAAAAGACGCCACGCGUGGCGUUCCGAGAGUACCCGAAGAAAAAGCAUCGGCUAACUCCGUGCCAGCAGCCGCGGUAAUACGGAGGAUGCGAGCGUUAUCCGGAUUUAUUGGGUUUAAAGGGUGCGUAGGCGGAUCGUUAAGUCAGUGGUCAAAUUGAGGGGCUCAACCCCUUCCCGCCAUUGAAACUGGCGCUC
rnacentral:rRNA from 1 species